GAUGAAGAACGUAGCGAAAUGCGAUAAGUAAUGUGAAUUGCAGAAUUCAGUGAAUCAUCGAAUCUUUGAACGCACAUUGCGCCCCGUGGCAUUCCGCGGGGCAUGCCUGUUCGAGCGUCAUUUCACCACUCAAGCCUCGCUUGGUAUUGGGCGUCGCGGUGCCGCGCGCCUCAAAGUCCCCGGCUGGGUCGUCCGUCUCCGAGCGUUGUGGCACAUAUUUCGCCGACGAGCUCGGACGGCUCGGGGCCGUUAAAUCUUUCACCAGGUUGACCUCGGAUCAGGUAGGGAUACCCGCUGAACUUAAGCAUAUCAAUAAGCGGAGGA
rnacentral:misc_RNA from 1 species